rnacentral:lncRNA from 1 species
CUAAAGAGACUGAAAUUGUACCAAGUGAUGCAUUUUGAGCAAAGGGUCAAUCUGGUGACCGUUUCAUAAAAAAUACCUUCGGGGAUGUGCAAACAUGAUCCGCAAGUCAUGAAAGUCAGUGCCUCAUUUGCCUUAUCAAUCUGGGUACUAUACCUGCUUUCUCCUCCAAUGAAGUUAAUCUGGUGCUACCCUUAGCAUUGCAAAGUCUCUCUAGAUUGAGAAAAUCAUUUGUAUUCCAGGAGGCCUUAAGCAUCACCAUAGUAAUCAUGCCAAAUGUGGUCAUGUGCUUUUCAGAGCUUCAGAGUUAA